UACGAAGGGUGCUAGCGUUGUUCGGAAUUACUGGGCGUAAAGGGCGCGUAGGCGGCUUAGCAAGUUGGAUGUGAAAGCCCAGGGCUCAACCCUGGAAUUGCAUUCAAGACUGCUUUGCUUGAAUUCGGUAGAGGUUGGUGGAAUUCCCAGUGUAGAGGUGAAAUUCGUAGAGAUUGGGAAGAACACCAGUGGCGAAGGCGGCUAUCUGGACGGUUUCUGACGCUAAGACGCGAAAGCGUGGGGAGCAAACAGG
rnacentral:rRNA from 1 species